rnacentral:SRP_RNA from 1 species
CGUCGGUCCCUCCGCGACGAUAGUUCGCAAACCCCGCCAGGUCCGGAAGGAAGCAACGGUAGCGGAUGAUUCGGGUGCCGGGGUGUGGCUGGCGGGG